rnacentral:rRNA from 1 species
GGUUAAGCGACUAAGCGUACACGGUGGAUGCCCUGGCAGUCAGAGGCGAUGAAGGACGUGCUAAUCUGCGAAAAGCGCCGGCGAGGUGAUAUGAACCUUUGACCCGGCGAUGUCCGAAUGGGGAAACCCAGUGCAAUCCGUUGCACUAUCGUUAACUGAAUACAUAGGUUAACGAGGCGAACCGGGGGAACUGAAACAUCUAAGUACCCCGAGGAAAAGAAAUCA